rnacentral:rRNA from 1 species
GGUGAACGCUGGCGGCGUGCUUAAGACAUACAAGUCGAACGGCAGUCUUCGGACUGUAGUGGCGCACGUGUGAGUAACGCGUAACUGACCUACCCCAACGUCGAGGAGCGCGAUUCGCAAGAAGCGCCAAGACGUGAUGUUCAGGCAGAUUGUGUUCUGCCGGUAAAGAUUGCUUGCUUUUGGAUGGGGUUGCGUGCCAGGAGCGAGUUGGUGGGGUAAAGGCCCACUAAGGCGACGACGGAUAGCCGGCCUGAGAGGGUGGCCGGCCAUAGGGGCACUGAGACACGGGUCCCACUCCUAUGGGAGGCAGCAGUUAGGAAUCUGCCACAGUGGGCGAAAGCCUGAUGGAGCGACGCCGCGUGAGGGAUGAAGGUCUUCGGAUCGUAAACCUCUGAAUCAGGGACGAAAGACACUUCGGUGGGAUGACGGUACCUGAGUAAUAGCACCGGCUAACUCCGUGCCAGCCGCCGCCGUAACAC